rnacentral:misc_RNA from 1 species
UCUCUCUCUCUUUCUCUCUCUGCUUUUGAUGGUAAUUUUAGAAAAGCCUGUAGAUGGUUGAUUGGGAUCUUUCUUGCAAUAAGAUUCAAGAAAGAAAAAGUUAGGGAAUUAAAGAACUGAAAAAUAAAAAUAGGGACAAAAUUCUGGAGCAAACCCAUUAUUUUCCCUUCUUUUGAUGAGCUUUAUACGUUUAUAUAUAUUUUAAUUUGUUUUUGGAUUAUUAUCUUUAAAGCUUCAUCAUUAGUUUGUUACUUUGUUUUAGGGUUGGGCUGGUCAAUUAUUCUUUUCCUGUGAAAAGUCUCCUCCUUGAUUGUUGAUAAUUUGCCAUUAUUUCCUUUGCAAUCUUUGACUGACUAAAAUUUUAUUAACAAAAUUAUGGAGCAAGCCCAUUAUGGUCCCUACUUUUGAUGAUUUUCUUUCAUAUUUCUUUUUGUUAAAUUUAAAAUAUCAUUAUUAAUGGCUCUUUGAUUAUUCUCUAGAAAGGUAUUCUCUUUAGUGGCGUUAUGUGCUUUGCAAAGCUUUUACUGCUUAAUUUUGAUUUCUUAUUUGAUUGAUCAAUUGGUUUAAUGGUAUGUACCAUGUUUUUGGAAAAUUAGCUGUCUAUACAAGCAGAUAUAAUCAUGCCCUAACUCUUUCUUGAUGCCUAUACACAUCAGUUUAUUGUUUCCUGAAUAACAAAUAACUGUGGUUUCAUUGGAACAUGAGCAAUCAUCGAACCGUCUGGAUUUUCAAGCUAACUGAGGUGUACUAGGCGGAUGUAUAAAUAUAAUUAUUGAUGCUCUUUCUUAUGACUCAUGAAUUGAUACUUUUGAUUGAGUCUAACUUGAUGCCUCAGAUCAAGUGGUUCAUUGCUUUCUUAGUAUUAAAAAUAUAAUUUCUUUUCAACUAGUGUUAGACCUUGAGGAAUGCAAUCCUGUGGCAACACUAAUAGCAUCCAAAUGUCUAGACCUUUUGAGGUGCUUGUACGUGUCAAUAAUCUCAAUUGUUAAUGAAAUUGUUUACUUUCUGCACUUCUGAAAAUUUGUGGAUAUACCGCAAGUAUGCAAAGAAAGUGUCAACUGGCACAUUCAAGGUUCUUGGAAUUCAAUAUUUUUUGUCUUGAGUUUCAUUUGAAUCAAUUUUGCCUAUUGCUUAUUCUAGCCUAUGAUAGUCCUCUUUGUCAUUUAUUUUCUCAUAGCUUAUAUUUUGACUGGGAGCAUUUUAGGAUUAAUGUUUCAAAUGGCAAAUGCAUCCCUUGUGGACUCUGAGAACUUGAUUGAAACUCUUUCUCAAUGGUUUGGAAUGCAUAUCUCUAGUUGAUAAGACUGCUUGCUUGGCUCAAAUAUGGUAUCUAUCUUUGUGCUGACACUUUCAAAAAAGCAAUCUUUCAUUCUCACCAGCUUGACCUUUUUAAAUUGCAGAGUACAUGUGCAAUAUGCCUGACAGCCAUGAAACCAGGACAGGGCCAUGCCAUUUUUACUGCAGAAUGCUCGCACUCUUUUCACUUCCAUUGUAUUACCUCUAAUGUAAAACAUGGGAAC